GACGAACGCUGGCGGCGUGCUUAACACAUGCAAGUCGAACGGUAAGGCCCUUCGGGGUACACGAGUGGCGAACGGGUGAGUAACACGUGGGUGAUCUGCCCUGCACUUCGGGAUAAGCCUGGGAAACUGGGUCUAAUACCGGAUAGGACUCCGGACUGCAUGGUCUGGGAUGGAAAGCUUUUGCGGUGUGGGAUGGGCCCGCGGCCUAUCAGCUUGUUGGGGGGGUGAUGGCCUACCAAGGCGACGACGGGUAGCCGGCCUGAGAGGGUGACCGGCCACACUGGGACUGAGAUACGGCCCAGACUCCUACGGGAGGCAGCAGUGGGGAAUAUUGCACAAUGGGCGCAAGCCUGAUGCAGCGACGCCGCGUGAGGGAUGACGGCCUUCGGGUUGUAAACCUCUUUCAGCAUCGACGAAGCGAAAGUGACGGUAGGUGCAGAAGAAGGACCGGCCAACUACGUGCCAGUAGCCGCCGUAA
rnacentral:rRNA from 1 species